rfam:Otolemur garnettii contig144870, whole genome shotgun sequence.
GAGGCACCGAUCACUGCUCCGUCGCUGCCCACGAGGCCCACCGUGGCCUCGGGCUCUGGAGUCCAGUGCCC